rfam:Myotis brandtii contig315763, whole genome shotgun sequence.
GGUGGUUCUUGGGGGAUGCAACCUGGAAUCAGCCUCCCUUCUCUCUGGUUCCGAGUGCAUCACCCGAGGACCACU